CAAAGGUUUGGUCCUAGCCUUGCUAUUAAUUUUUACUACGCUUACACAUGCAAGUAUCUGCACACCCGUGAAAAUGCCCUUUACUACCCGUAAGUAGAACAGGAGCAGAUAUCAGGCACUGAUACUGCCAAAGACAUCUUGUUUAACCACACCCCCAAGGGAGCUCAGCAGUGAUAAACAUUGAACAUAAGCGACACAAGCUUGAAUCAGCGAUAGUUAACAGAGUCGGUAAAUCUCGUGCCAGCCGCCGCGGUUAUACGAGAGACUCAAAUUAAUCUAAUCGGCCCAAAGAGUGGUUAGGAGCGCAAAUAAAUAGGGUUAAAAACUAACCCCGCUGUCGUACGCAAAGGUUAAAAAAAGCACAACGCCGAAAGUAGCCCUACAAAAAUACCACUGAACCCACGACAGCUAGGACACAAACUGGGAUUAGAUACCCCACUAUGCCUAGCUAUAAACUUUGACCCAUAUCCGCCAGAGUACUACGAGCAACAGCUUAAAACUCAAAGGACUUGGCGGUGCUCUACACCCACCUAGAGGAGCCUGUUCUGUAAUCGAUAAUCCACGAUAAACCUCACCGCUUGUUGCCAAUACAGCCUAUAUACCACCGUCCAGCCCACCCUUCAAAGGGUAAAAAGUAGGCAAAAUUAUAUACAUAAGAACGUCAGGUCAAGGUGUAGCAAAUAAAGCGGGAAGAAAUGGGCUACAUUUUCUAAUCUAGAAAACACGGAAAAGUCUGUGAAAUAAGACUACAAAGGAGGAUUUAGCAGUAAAAAGAAAAAAGAGCGUUCUUUUUAAACCGGCAAUGGAGCGCGCACACACCGCCCGUCACCCUCUUCAAGAACUAUUAGAUAUUAAAUAAACAAAGAAGAAAAAAGAAGAAGAGGCAAGUCGUAACAUGGUAAGUUUACCGGAAGGUGAACUUGGAA
rnacentral:ncRNA from 1 species